rnacentral:rRNA from 1 species
GACGAACGCUGGCGGCGUGCCUAAUACAUGCAAGUAGAACGCACAGUUUAUACCGUAGCUUGCUACACCAUAGACUGUGAGUUGCGAACGGGUGAGUAACGCGUAGGUAACCUGCCUGGUAGCGGGGCAUAACUAUUGGAAACGAUAGCUAAUACCGCAUAAUAUUAAUUAUUGCAUGAUAAUUAAUUGAAAGGUGCAAUUGCACCACUACCAGAUGGACCUGCGUUGUAUUGGCUAGUAGGGGAGGUAACGGCUCACCUAGUCGAAGAGACAUAGCCGACUCGGGGGGGUGAUCGGCCAAAACGGGAAUGGGAACAGGCCCAGAACCCCACGGGAGGGAGCAGUAGGGAAUCUUCGGCCAUGGACGAAAGUCUGAACGAGGAAAGCCGCGUGAGUGAAGAAGGUUUUCGGAUCGUAAAGCCGUGUUGUAAGAGAAGAAAGGGUGUGAGAGUGGAAAGUUCACACUGUGACGGUACCUUAACAGAAAGGGACGGCUAACUACGUG